GCCAAGGCACUGCUUUCUCUUGCAGUAUUCCUGCAGAGCUGGAAACAGCAUUUGCUUCAAUAGAAGAGUUUGAGAUCCCCAGGAAAAUGGGACCUGAGCCCCCUCCCUGUGAAGCUGAUGGCAAAGGAACAGCGUUGCUCUGACAGGGCUCAUGAGAAUUGAAUCCUGCUUAGCUCAAGGUUAACAGCUAAGCCAGAAUCACAGCUCACUGCAGAAGAUCCGAAUCUUCCCAGCUCCCAGAUGGUGCUCAAGGCAUUGGAAUGUGCAGCAUUUCUAAACAAGAUGCUUUUAAUGCAGCUCACCCGGUGUUUCACUGCAGUCCCCGUUCUUCUGUAUUUAAACCUCAAAUCUGUGGCAGAUUUGAUAGUGGCUCCAUGAGAGGGAAGUGUGGAUGCUCCAUCCAUGGAAGUUUCCAAGGCCAGGUUGGACGGGUCUUGGAGCAGCCUGGGAAUAGUGGGAGGUGUCCCUGCCCCUGACAGGGUGAUUUUUAAGGUCCCUUCCCAAACCAUUGUGGGAUUUGAUGAAGUUUGCAGCACUCAGCCUGACCUUCCUUUCCCUUAAAAGCAGUGACUCAUAAACUGGAUUUUGCUCCACA